UAGAAGUGGUGAGUCUGGGCGUCUUGGCCUUGUUUCCGAUCCUAGAGGACAGCUUCCAGCUUCUCACCGUCGAAGAUGAUGCUAGCUGUGGGGUGUCAUAUACGGCCUUUAUUAGGGUGUUCUCGUGAUUUUUAUCCUUCACCUGGUCAACACGGUGAAUCCCGUUGGUGGCUGCAUGGCUGUCGAACCAUCCUUGCAUCCCUGGAAUAAACCCCGCUCGGCUGCAGUGAGUGGUCGUGUUGACUGUUGAA